AUUGAACGCUGGCGGCAGGCUUAACACAUGCAAGUCGUGCGGGGUGAUGGUGCUUGCACUAUCACUUAGCGGCGGACGGGUGAGUAAUGCUUAGGAAUCUGCCUAUUAGUGGGGGACAACAUCUCGAAAGGGAUGCUAAUACCGCAUACGUCCUACGGGAGAAAGCAGGGGAUCACUUGUGACCUUUCGCUAAUAGAUGAGCCUAAGUCGGAUUAGCUAGUUGGUGGGGUAAAGGCCUACCAAGGCGACGAUCUGUAGCGGGUCUGAGAGGAUGAUCCGCCACACUGGGACUGAGACACGGCCCAGACUCCUACGGGAGGCAGCAGUGGGGAAUAUUGGACAAUGGGGGGAACCCUGAUCCAGCCAUGCCGCGUGUGUGAAGAAGGCCUUAUGGUUGUAAAGCACUUUAAGCGAGGAGGAGGCUCUUUUGGCUAAUACCCAAGAUGAGUGGACGUUACUCGCGGAAUAAGCACCGGCUAACUCUGUGCCAGCCGCCGCAGUAA
rnacentral:rRNA from 1 species